GGUAGCCGGCCUGAGAGGGCGACCGGCCACACUGGGACUGANACACGGCCCANANUCCUACNNNAGGCAGCANNGGGGAAUAUUGCGCAAUGGGCGGAAGCCUGACGCAGCGACGCCGCGUGGGGGAUGACGGCCUUCGGGUUGUAAACCUCUUUCGCCAGGGACGAAGCGCAAGUGACGGUACCUGGAUAAGAAGCACCGGCCAACUACGUGCCAGCAGCCGCGGUAACACGUAGGGUGCGAGCGUUGUCCGGAAUUAUUGGGCGUAAAGAGCUCGUAGGCGGUCUGUCGCGUCGGUCGUGAAAACUUGGGGCUUAACCCUGAGCUUGCGGUCGAUACGGGCAUGACUGGAGUUCGGCAGGGGA
rnacentral:rRNA from 1 species